rnacentral:rRNA from 1 species
UGAUAAACUGGAGGAAGGUGGGGAUGACGUCAAAUCAUCAUGCCCCUUAUGACCUGGGCUACAAACGUGAUACAAUGGCUGAAACAAAGGGCAGCGAAGCAGUGAUGUGGAGCGAAACCCAAAAAAGCAGUCUCAGUUCGGAUUGAAGUCUGCAACUCGACUUCAUGAAGUUGGAAUCGCUAGUAAUCGUAGAUCAGAACGCUACGGUGAAUACGUUCUCGGGGUUU